rnacentral:rRNA from 1 species
UUGGAGGGCAAGUCUGGUGCCAGCAGCCGCGGUAAUUCCAGCUCCAAUAGCGUAUAUUAAAGUUGUUGCAGUUAAAAAGCUCGUAGUUGAAUUUCGGGAUCAGAGUGUCGGUCGUGCCUCGGUACGCACUGGUAUUAUUGGUUCCUACCUUCUGAAGAACCGCGAUGUCAUUAAUUUGGUGUCGUGGGGAAUCAGGACUGUUACUUUGAAAAAAUUAGAGUGUUUAAAGCAGGCUUACGCUUGAAUACAUUAGCAUGGAAUAAUGAAAUAGGACGUUUGAUUCUAUUUUGUUGGUUUCUAGGAUUGACGUAAUGAUUAAUAGGGAUAGUUGGGGGCAUUAGUAUUCAACUGUCAGAGGUGUAAUUCUUGGAUUUAUUGAAGACUAACUACUGCGAAAGCAUUUGCCAAGGAUGUUUUCAUUAAUCAAGAACGAAAGUUAGGGGAUCGAAGACGAUCAGAUACCGUCGUAGUCUUAACCAUAAACUAUGCCGACUAGGGAUCGGAUGAUGUUAAUUUAUUAAUGACUCAUUCGGCGCCUUACGGGAAACCAAAGUGUUUGGGUUC